GCUGGAAUAGCUCAAUUGGUUAGAGCGUGUGAGCCCUUAACCACAAGGUCGAACGUUCAAACCCUUCUUCUAGUG